rnacentral:rRNA from 1 species
CUUGAAACACGGACCAAGGAGUUUAUCGUGUACGCAAGUCAUUGGGUGAAUAAAACCCAAAGGCGAAAUGAAAGUAAAGAGUUGAGCAUAAUUUAAAAAAAUUUUUUUUUCUUUUAUGUUCCUCUUAAGGGAAGAUAGAAAUUGCUUUAAUAAUAGUUUUAAACUUGUUUUAUAACUAUUUGUUAAUGUUUAAUUUCUCGCACUCCCAGGGCGCUUGUUUAACGCUUGCGUGGCAAUGCGCACCUAGAGCGUACACGCUGAUACCCGAAAGAUGGUGAACUAUGCCUGGCCAGGACGAAGCCAGGGGAAACCCUGGUGGAGGUCCGCAGCGAUUCUGACGUGCAAAUCGAUCGUCGGAGCUGGGUAUAGGGGCGAAAGACCAAUCGAACCAUCUAGUAGCUGGUUCCCUCUGAAGUUUCCCUCAGGAUA